rnacentral:lncRNA from 1 species
UAGGGUUUGAUUUAGGAUUUAGGGUUUGGUUUAGGAUUUGGUUAGGAUUUGAUUUAGAAUUUGAUUGGAAUUUGAUUUAAGGUUUGUUAAGGGUUUGAUUUAGGGUUUAGGAUUUUAUUAGGAUUUAAGAUUCAAUUAGUUUUGGCCAAAAUUUUGAAUGAAGUUCUAUAAAAUUUUAAUUAGAAUUAAAUUAAGAUUGAAUUGAGAUGUAUUUGAGUGAUAUUUGUGAUCUUUCUAAUAUUUCUUUAAGAAUUUUUAUUGUUUGUUUGAAAUUUCUUGAGAUUUUUUUGAAUUUGAUUAAGCUUGCUUAGCAUUAUUAUGGUCUAAUUAGAGU